AGCGAACGCUGGCGGUAGGCCUAACACAUGCAAGUCGAACGGCAGCACAGUAAGAGCUUGCGCAUACGGGUGGCGAGUGGCGGAAGGGUGAGGUAUACAUCGGAAUCUACUUUUUCGGGGGGGAUAACGUAGGGAAACUUACGCUAAUACCGCAUACGACCUACGGGUGAAAGCAGGGGAUCUUUGGACCUUGCGCGAUUGAAUGAGCCGAUGUCGGAUUAGCUAGUUGGCGGGGUAAAGGCGCACCAAGGCGACGAUCCGUAGCUGGUCUGAGAGGAUGAUUCGCCACACGGGAACUGAGGCACGGUCCAGACUCCUACGGGAGGCAACGGUGGGGAAUAUUAGGCAAGGGGCGCGAGCCGAAUACAGGCAUACCGCGUAAGGCAAGAACGCCUUCGGGUUGUUGAGCCCUUUUGUCGGGAGGGAAGAAAAGCAGGUUUAUACCGCGCUAUUCUGACGGUACCGAAAGAAUAAGCACCGGCUAACUUCGUG
rnacentral:rRNA from 1 species